rnacentral:rRNA from 1 species
GGAAUAUUGCGCAAUGGGCGAAACCCUGAAGGAGCGACGCCGCGUGGGGGAUGAAGGUCUUCGGAUUGUAAACCCCUGUCAUCUGGGAUCAAUGCUUACGACCUAACACGUCGUAAGUUGCUAGUACCGGAAGAGGAAGCAGUGGCUAACUCUGUGCCAGCCGCCGCGGUAAUACAGAGACUGCAAGCGUUGUUCGGAUUCAUUGGGCGUAAAGGGUGCGCAGGCGGUCCGGUAAGUCGGGUGUGAAAUCUCGAGGCUUAACCUCGAGCGGUCAUUCGAAACUACCGGGCUCGAGGACUGGAGAGGAGACUGGAAUAGUCGGUGUAGCAGUGAAAUGCGUAGAGAUCGACUAGAACACCGGUGGCGAAGGCGGGUCUCUGGACAGUUCCUGACGCUCAGGCACGAAAGCCAGGGGAGCAAAC